GCGAGCAACUAUUGCGUAUUGUAUUCUACAAUCCCUCUUGGUAUGUUCAGGUCUGCCUUGACCUACAAAGCAGGAGAAGUCAACACUUUUUUAGCGUGGCAGCGAUGGAAAAGUUUAUAUUCACGCAGAAUCCGGUUGAACUCGCCAAACUGACAGGUUUUCCCGGACAAAUUAAAGUGUAACUUCUUGGCCUGUAAUUAAAUUGUAAAAAUAAUAAAAAUCACACGACGCAGUGACAUGUAAAAUUCUUAUUCAAGUAAAGUAAAAGUACAAAAUAAAAACCAACUUAGUCUUAGCAGGAACAUUUUAGAGUGUACUCAGUUUUUGAGUUGAAUCCUUAAAGUAAAGCUAGAAUAGUGAAAACAUGAGCACGGGGUGUGACAAUUCUAAUAAAAGCUGCUUGAAAAGUAAUAUCUACUGGUAAGGUCGCAUCAAAAUUUCUGAGCAGAAUUCUAAUCCAGUACGAUUCCUUUGAUUCUUGGCCAAAAUAUUUUGUUCGUCGGAAACAGAACUUAUUAAAGUUGUCACCCCAUGUGAUAAAAAAAAAAACACUGUAAUCUAUGAAAUUUAUCUAAGAAUACAGCCAUUCACUGUAAUUUAUAAAGUUCAUGUCUUAGGAAAUUAACUAUUACAUGUAACUAAGGAAUUCAGCUUCGUUUCUUCAACUUCCUAAAUAAACUAGUGAUUUUAUAAAAACACAGCUUUUUGCCCUCUUGAUUGUGAAAUAGGUUGGAUUAUUUAUUAUUAAAGCUGAAAUCUGUUUCUGAAGUCAUAUUUUAUAGAGUAUUCUCCUUUGUUAUUAAAGUUUAGGUGACUCAUAUCGACGUUUAAUUUAACUUGUUU